AUUCCAGCUCCAAUAGCGUAUAUUAAAGUUGUUGCGGUUAAAAAGCUCGUAGUUGGAUUUCUGUUGAGGAAGUCCGGUCCGCACUUUGUGCGUGAUCUGGUUCUGCCUCGGCAUCCUCGCGGGGAACGCGCUGCGCUUGAUUGCGUGGUGCGGUAUUCGCGACUUUUACUUUGAGGAAAUUAGAGUGUUCACGGCAGGCUAUCGCCUUGAAUACGUUAGCAUGGAAUAAUAAUAUAGGACCUUGGUUCUAUUUUGUUGGUUUCUAGAACUAAGGUAAUGAUUAAUAGGGAUAAUUGGGGGCAUUUGUAUUAACACGUCAGAGGCGAAAUUCUUGGAUUGUGUUACGACAAACUACUGCGAAAGCAUUUGCCAAGGAUGUUUUCAUCA
rnacentral:rRNA from 1 species